UCUCUAAUACCGAAAUGUUUGGUUAUGCACUCACAGUCUUUGGGGUUAUACUCUACAGUGAAGCCAAGAAACGAAACAAAUGAUGCCUCAUCUUGAGAUUCAAUCUUUUCUUUACCCUCCAAGCUUGGAUUUUCUUAAAAGUUAGGGAAAAAAAUACCCCUCACCAUUCCACUUCGAAAGUUUUUUUUUAGAGAAAAAAAGAAGAUGGUGAAAGAAAUUGUUUUUAGAAAAAUUAGUUGGUGUAUUUUGAAUCGGAAUGUGAAAGAGACCAAAAUUGAGGUUGGAAACAAAAUAAAAAAAAAUAAAAAAAUUGUCCCCAGAAUCUAGGGGUGGUUGUAAACAUGAGUUUUCUGGUGGUUGGGUCUAUAGUAUGAAAAACAAAGAGAGGAGAAACAAAAUAACAAAAACAAAAAAAUGAAAAGUUUGGAGAAAAAACAAAGUAAAAAUCUGAAAGAAAGAUUGAUCCCGUGAAAAAUAAAAAAGGAAAUAAAGAAGAAAUUGGAAAAAAAAUAAUUUUUAACAAAAUAAAAGAGGAAAAAUAAAACAAAAUCCACGUGGAAAUAAGAAAGAAAUAAAGGG
rnacentral:lncRNA from 1 species